rnacentral:rRNA from 1 species
UAGAGAGAGACAUGCGCGCAUAUCAAUAAGCGGAGGAAAAGAAACUAACUAGGAUUCCCUCAGUAACGGCGAGUGAAGCGGGAAGAGCUCAAAUUUGAAAUCUUCAAGGUUCUACCUUGACGAAUUGUAGUUUAAAGAAGUGUUUUCUGUUGGAGUUUUGGUAAAAGUUCUUUGGAAUAGGACAUCAUAGAGGGUGAGAAUCCCGUAUUUGACCAUUAUUUCCAACUUUGUGAUACACUUUCAAAGAGUCGGAUUGUUUGGGAAUGCAGUCCAAAAUGGGUGGUAAAUUUCAUCUAAAGCUAAAUAUUGGCGAGAGACCGAUAGCGAACAAGUACCGUGAGGGAAAGAUGAAAAGAACUUUGAAAAGAGAGUUAAACAGUACGUGAAAUUGUCAAAAGGGAAGCGUUUGACACCAGUGUUGUUUUCUCGAAAAUCAAUUAAAAAAGGCCGGAUUUUGUGUUGUAUUGACCUUAAAAGCUUUCUUCACUCUUUUCUUGUCUUUUUUAAUGCACUUUUCGUUUAACAAGUCAACAUCAAUUUCUUUUGUUGUAAAAGGGUCAUUGGAAGGUGGCUUUCUUUUCGGAGAAAGUGUUUAUAGCCUUUGAGCCUCUGCAACCGGAGAGACUGAGGUCUGCAGCGUAGAUCCUUCGGGGUUAGAUGCAUUUGUGCUAAGUUAUAGCCUUUCAUAGACAACUUGUUGACUAUGAUCAGUCAUGUAGCUUACUCGCUUAUGUCUAUUUACCUACGCUUAGGAUGUUGACAGCAGUAUAGACUGU